UAAAAUCUUAGUGGCGGACGGGUGAGUAACGCGUGGGUAACCUGCCUUACACUGGGGGAUAACACUUAGAAAUAGGCGCUAAUACCGCAUAAGCGCACGAAGCCGCAUGGAUUUGUGUGAAAAACUCCGGUGGUGUAAGAUGGACCCGCGUCUGAUUAGCUUGUUGGCGGGGUAACGGCCCACCAAGGCGACGAUCAGUAGCCGGCCUGAGAGGGUGGACGGCCACAUUGGGACUGAGACACGGCCCAAACUCCUACGGAAGGCAGCAG
rnacentral:rRNA from 1 species